ACAAUAGCGUCUAGAUAUCAAUCGACAUGCCUUCUUUAUCCAAAAUAUUGUUCUAUGUGCAGCUCUAAAAAGGCUGAAUAGCUUUCUUCAUCUUAGUGCCAGUUAGAUCAUAUAUCCAAAUCGAAUUGGAGCGUCUUCUUCUACCAAUUUCUUAAAGGCUGAAUAGCUUUCUUCACUCUAAUGAUGGAAUGGAAUGGAAUGUUGAAAUAGUCACAAAUUUCAUUGAUUAAAGAAAUUCAUGGGAUUUCAAAUUCCUCCCUCCCCAAACCAAGAUCAAUUUUACAAAGAAAAACUUCCUAAUUCCAUUCCAUUCCAUUCCAUGAAACGAACGCUACCUUAGGGUUUGACGUCUCAAGAGGUUAAGUUGGAUGCCUUCAACAUGUCCAAUUGGAAUCAUGGAGGAGCCUCAUCAGCCUCCCAAAUACUUGACGAACGGAACUUCUCAUUAAGCAUUCAGGUUUCAACUCCAUUCUUUUCGUGAUAUUAAGCCAGCCAUCAGUUCUAAAAUUGAUCACGAUUUAGAGUUUCUAAAGGAGGUCAGGAAUUCAAUCUGAGUUAUGUCACGAGAAUCAUGGUGUUUGAUAAUUUCCCUCAAUGAGAGUUUUGUUGAGGAAUUCACUGACGUUCCAUAAAUCACACACAGUGUUUGCUAGCUUCGGUUCCUUGACCAUCUAAAAAAGCUUCAAAGAAGAACGUGGAAUAUUUGGGUUGUUUUCGGGAUCCACUAGAUAUAAUUACUUAAUGGUUAUAACAAAAUAGUGAAACAUCACGUUAUCCUAAUCAUCAGGUUGUAUGCUUUCAUGCAUUGGAGAAACAAAAAGAGGUCAUGUUCUCUCUAGAACUGUAAGUUUUUUUCGGUCUCCAAGCCGGUGCUUAAUGUUUCAGCUCAAAUUUCAUGGUUUCCGAAUUACUCAAUCCGGUUCCGAUGACGAAUCGUCAAAAAACCAAGCCGAGGGGUGACCAGGUCGUGUACACUUGCCGAGUUGAUGUCGAAUCUGCAAAGUGGUAAGUCUCUUUUAGACCUAUUUAUUCAUUUUGUAUGGUUCUUGGAAUUCGGUCAUGGGUUCAUGCUUUUUAGUUAUGAAUCCUCAUUUCAUGUUUAUGAUAAUAUUGAAACUGUAGGGUGAAAUUGGUCAUGGACCAGUUUACUUAUGGAAACACAAUUCCUCAAAGUUAUAUUGUAUAUGGAUGGGGUCAAAGAAGUUCAUUUGUAUUUUUUAAUGUGUUUUGCUCACAAUGUUUUUUUUCCAGUGUUGCUUCAUGCUGAGUUAUUAGGCAUUCGUUUUGCGAGUGUUGAAUUUUGCUAUAGAUUAGCAGUUACAUGUUUCAUACAGAAAAUGGUUCACAGAAAAGUGGUUCACGUUUGCUAAGUAAUUAACUGACAACAGGUUUUAUACCAUUGUUAGGAAGGUAGGUACUCUUCACAUGAAUGAGUUAUAAAAUAACUUAUUUUUUAAUGGUUUGGUUUAGGCCAUAAAAGGUGGGUACUUUUCAAAUGAUCGUCUAUUUUCUGUUUCGGGAGUGAAAGCAUUAGUUGAAGCUUGGAACAUGAAGGGAGUCUUUGCUGAGGAAACAAAUUAAGAAAGAAGCUGUGUUAUAUCCCACCCUUAUGCUUUCUCUUAUCGCAAUUGGAGAUGGCACUUUCUUUUUGGGUCUUAUUGGUUCCAGUUCUUAAUGAGCGCAAAUACAUGUUGGUUCAAGAAAUUUAAACUUGCUCAGCAGCAGAAGUCACACUGUUACUCCAUCAAGCAAUUAUACAUUAAAAUUUGCCUACCAUUGCAAAACACAUUGAAAUUUAGGCUGCUCAAAGCAAGGCAUUCUCAUUAAUUUUGUCUGCACUAAAUACAUAAUACAGCACCUGAUUACGUUAUUAUUUUUCAAGCAUACAGAUUAUUACUGUUGAUGAUUCAGGUUGUUAUUUUCAGGAAAUUGUUACUUUUGAAUUUUGAUUAUGUUUUUAUAAUUUUGGU